rnacentral:rRNA from 1 species
GACGAACGCUGGCGGCGUGCUUAACACAUGCAAGUCGAACGGAAAGGCCCUGCUUUUGUGGGGUGCUCGAGUGGUGAACGGGUGAGUAACACGUGAGUAACCUGCCCUUGACUUUGGGAUAACUUCAGGAAACUGGGGCUAAUACCGGAUAGGAGCUCCUGCUGCGUGGUGGGGGUUGGAAAGUUUCGGCGGUUGGGGAUGGACUCGCGGCUUAUCAGCUUGUUGGUGGGGUAGUGGCUUACCAAGGCUUUGACGGGUAGCCGGCCUGAGAGGGUGACCGGCCACAUUGGGACUGAGAUACGGCCCAGACUCCUACGGGAGGCAGCAGUGGGGAAUAUUGCACAAUGGGCGGAAGCCUGAUGCAGCAACGCCGCGUGCGGGAUGACGGCCUUCGGGUUGUAAACCGCUUUCGCCUGUGACGAAGCGUGAGUGACGGUAAUGGGUAAAGAAGCACCGGCUAACUACGUG